GACGAACGCUGGCGGCGUGCUUAACACAUGCAAGUCGAACGGUAAGGCCCUUCGGGGUACACGAGUGGCGAACGGGUGAGUAACACGUGGGUGAUCUGCCCUACACUUCGGGAUAAGCCUGGGAAACUGGGUCUAAUACCGGAUAGGACCCUGGGAUGCAUGUCCUGGGGUGGAAAGCUUUUGCGGUGUGGGAUGGGCCCGCGGCCUAUCAGCUUGUUGGGGGGGUGAUGGCCUACCAAGGCGACGACGGGUAGCCGGCCUGAGAGGGUGACCGGCCACACUGGGACCGAGAUACGGCCCAGACUCCUACGGGAGGCAGCAGUGGGGAAUAUUGCACAAUGGGCGCAAGCCUGAUGCAGCGACGCCGCGUGGGGGAUGACGGCCUUCGGGUUGUAAACCUCUUUCAGCACCGACGAAGCGCAAGUGACGGUAGGUGCAGAAGAAGGACCGGCCAACUACGUGCCAGCAGCCGCAGUAA
rnacentral:rRNA from 1 species